rnacentral:lncRNA from 1 species
GCUAUUAGAAAAAUGUCUAGAGGAGUGUCUUGUUUACAUAUGGAUCCGGUGUUCUUUCUUUCCCCAACAACACGGACGCAAUAAAAAAAAAGAUGAAGGUUGCCGUCAUCAAACCUAGUGUGAGUUAAUCAUCAAAAUUGUGGGUAGUUGAUCGAAAAUCACCGUGCUAGAUGGAAUCUCAAUCGUCGACAAAAACAGCAAGGAGAGAACACAAACUCGAUACCUGGGAU